rnacentral:rRNA from 1 species
UACGUAGGCGGGCUAAUAAGUCAGUGGUGAAAUCUCUCGGCUCAACCGGGAAACUGCCAUUGAUACUGUUAGUCUUGAGUUCGGUUGAGGUAGGCGGAAUGUGUAAUGUAGCGGUGAAAUGCUUAGAUAUUACACAGAACACCAAUUGCGUAGGCAGCUUACUAGACCGACACUGACGCUGAGGCACGAAAGCGUGGGGAGCGAACAGGAUUAGAUACCCUGGUAGUC